GGGAAAGGGGGGGGCUGAAAAGGGAAAGUUUUGCUUUGCGUUCAGACAAACAAAUGCAGCCGCCGCCCGGAGAGACAGCAGCGACGGGGAGGGGGGGGGUCGCCCCGAAGCGAGGGUGAAGAAAAACCAAAUCCGGAUUGCGCUGCAAAAGAAAAACGGGGGCAAAAAAAGAAGAAGGAAGAAAAAAAAGAGAGAGAAAGCGCAGCGGCUUCACACGUUCAAAGAAACCCGGGACCUCCCCGUCUGGCUCGCGCCGCCCGAACGGAGCAGCAAGAAGCCUGGAAUUGUUACAUUUGGGGGUGACUUCGGGACCUGCGUGUCGGGAGCCUUUUAGAGACGGACGGACCGGCCCUUGGGGCAGACUUUCGCUUUCCUUAGCCUCGAGGGUCGUGGGAACGGGGAGAUGAGAGAAAGAAGCGGGCAUUUUGCUCCCGUAGGAGGACGGUCCUGCUCGGCGGAGCCCGUCGGAGAGCGAAGCCCACCCCGGGAGAAGAGGCGGCGGGAGACCCCCGCCUGGCUGGGGGACUUCCGAAGGAUUCGCGUGUCUUCUUCGCUGGCACCCCGAAGGGACAGGCGGCGCCGCCGUACCCCGUUUUCUUCUUUUUCUGCAGGGGAGUCUAGAAGCGGGGAGGGGACGCAAGAGCGAAGCAGGCCCCCGCAGCGACCUUUCUGGAGCUUCUCCCCCCCCCCUCGCCCAGCCAGCGUUUGCAUGGGGCGCCGGGUGAGGAAGAGGAAGGCAGGCAAGGGCGCCCGGGGCACGGAUGGAUGGCCUCUACGGUGUUGGGAGGACGGCGACCCCCUUAAGAAUGCCAUCGCAGACAACGGGGGAGACCUGAGUUUUCAUUUCCCUGCAGACCUUCUACAAUGAAGGAGCUGACUUAACGUACCUGUUGUUUAACGACCCGUGAACAAUUUUUUUCUUUCACAUAUAUGAAAGAAAAGGAGGACGAGAAAUGAUGGAUGGAAACUCGUCAAGGAGAGAAGCAACCUGGAACUAAGGAGAAACUUCCUGACAGUUAGAACAGUUCACCAGUGGAACAGCUUGCCACCAGAAGUUGUGGGUGCUCCAACGCUGGAGGUUUUCAAGAAGAGACUGGGCAGCCUUUUGUCUGCAAUGGGAUAGACUCUUUUGCUUGACCAGGGGGUUGGACUAGAAGACCUCCAAGGUCCCUUCCAACUCUGUUCUUCUAUGUAAGAUCGGUGCCGUGCAAAACCUGUCAUUAAAUGGCCGUUCGGGUGAAGGUUUUCAAACUCUGCAAAAAUUGCAAACCCAUUUUUUUUUAUGAAAAAAUAAAAUAAAAUUGCUAGGAACCUUC